rnacentral:rRNA from 1 species
GCGCGAAAACUUUACAAUGCCGGCAACGGCGAUAAGGGGACCUCGAGUGCCAGGUUACAAAUCUGGCUGUCGUGAUGCCUAAAAAGCAUUGCAUAGCAAGGGCCGGGCAAGACCGGUGCCAGCCGCCGCGGUAACACCGGCGGCUCGAGUGGUAACCGUUAUUAUUGGGUCUAAAGGGUCUGUAGCCGGCCGGAUAAGUCUCUUGGGAAAUCCAGCAGCUUAACUGUGGGGGUUUCAGGAGAUACUGUCUGGCUCGAGGCCGGGAGAGGUGAGAGGUACUUCAGGGGUAGGGGUGAAAGCUUGUAAGCCUUGAAGGACCACCAGUGGCGAAGGCGUCUCACCAGAACGGACCUGACGGCAAGGGACGAAAGCUAGGGGCACGAACC